CCACCAAGGCUAUAACAGAUACGGGCUCUGAGAGGAGAAGCCCGGAGAUGGGUACUGAGACACGGACCCAGGCCCUAUGGGGCGCAGCAGGCGAGAAAACUUUGCAAUGUGCGAAAGCACGACAAGGUUAAUCCGAGUGGUUCCUGCUAAAGGAACCUUUUGCCGGUCCUAAAAACACCGGUGAAUAAGGGGUGGGCAAGUUCUGGUGUCAGCCGCCGCGGUAAAACCAGCACCUCAAGUGGUCAGGAGGAUUAUUGGGCCUAAAGCAUCCGUAGCCGGCUGUGUAAGUUUUCGGUUAAAUCCAUGCGCUCAACGUAUGGGCUGCCGGGAAUACUGCACAGCUAGGGAGUGGGAGAGGUAGACGGUACUCGGUAGGGAGGGGUAAAAUCCACUGAUCUAUCGAUGACCACCUGUGGCGAAGGCGGUCUACUAGAACACGUCCGACGGUGAGGGAUGAAAGCUGGGGGAGCAAACCGGAUUAGAUACCCGGGUAGUCCCAGCUGUAAACAAUGCAAACUCAGUGAUGCGCUGGCUUAAAGGCCAGUGCAGUGCCGCAGGGAAGCCGUUA
rnacentral:rRNA from 1 species